CAAUAGCGUAUAUUAAAGUUGUUGCAGUUAAAAAGCUCGUAGUUGGAUUUCUGGUGGGAGCGAUCGGUCUGGCGCUUAGCGCGAGUACUUGCAUCGUCUCCGGCCAUCCUUGGGGAAAGUCUGUCUGGCAUUAAGUUGUCGGGCAGAGGAUCCUCAUCGUUUACUGUGAAAAAAUUAGAGUGUUCAAAGCAGGCUUAUGCCGUUGAAUAUAUUAGCAUGGAAUGAUAAGAUAGGACUUUGGUACUAUUUUGUUGGUUUGCGCACCAAAGUAAUGAUUAAUAGGGACAGUUGGGGGUAUUCGUAUUCCGUUGUCAGAGGUGAAAUUCUUGGAUUUACGGAAGACGAACUACUGCGAAAGCAUUUACCAAGGAUGUUUUCAUUAA
rnacentral:rRNA from 1 species